GCCACCCAGGUGCCCCUCUUACCUUCAUUUUUAAUAUAAUUUCAGGUUUUUAAUGGUGGUUGUGUCUAACAACUGCCUUGAAAACUCCUGAAAAUCUAAUACUGCUUUUGCAGAUUAAGAGCUUCAGCACUGUAACGGCACUAAACCGAGUAUGGUGUUGGUGAAGCCGGCCUUGCUUAGGCUCUUCGUCUUCCCCUGUUGUCUCCCUCUCUAGGACAACCCCAGCUAGGUGGUAGCCCAAACUACCUGCAGAACAAGCCACCAAAUCCAGCAGCUGUAACCGUGCCAGCAGAAGAGGGUCGGUCCCACCACCAGGAGGAGGGCCUGGGGCAGGACCGGCACUUCAGACCACCUCCAGUGGCCUCCGCCCAAUCACUGCUGUUUCGGUCAACUACUGAUUACAGUGCUUUUGCUUUCACGUCCUUUCCUGAUGUGUUUCCAUCAUGGACUCAACAACCUUCAUGUCAACAACUGGCCUUAAAACAUCUGUUGGCAAAGCGGCACUUUUGGAGAAGUACUUAGAUGAAGCACCUCUCCCGUUUCCCAGCAUAGCCACGCUCUGUCCUAUGGGGGACAAGCAUACAACGGGGUCCAGGGCCCUAAGCACUCCAGUAAACUGGUCUGAGCAUGGCUUAAAGGCAGAAAUGCAGGCGAGGAAUGCUGCCUUUGAGUGCAAAGAACCAAACUGUAGUUGUAAGGAACACCCACGCUGUCUAUUUCCAGCCAAACCGCUGACAGGCAGGAAGUCUGGAAGGAAGUAGGCACAGUUGAGAAGGGAUAGCAAGUGUGCUGUAGGACAGUAUUUCUCACAAUCAGUUCGUGGGUCACCUCCAUCAAAACCACAGCGACUGCUGGCUGAAUGAAAAUCUCUGGAGUUGACCCUCAGGAAUCUAAAUGCACACACCCCACCCCUGAUGAUUCCUGCUCAUGUUCAAGUUGGAGAACCUCUGGUAGAGUAAAAAGAACAACAGCGUCGGAGACAAGAUGACCACAGUUCAGAUCCCAGCGGCUCUCCAACUAAUGAACUGGGCCAAGUUCCCCAGGUUAUGUGACACCCCGAGCUCCCACUACCUAUUAAUUAGGGUUGUUGUAAAGAUUGAUGGGCCCAGUUCAGGUAAACGCACAGUACCCUACAGCCCACAAGAAGUAAGUGUUCAACCAACGUCAGUCCACCAUCUAUGUCUCUCAGUGGUAACCCUCAUCUCUCUGGACAGAGGGAAGCCUGCCGUCAACACCACCAGGCAGGAGAGACAGAUUCGAGUGACAGGGGUUUCCUAUCUCCUUCUUUCUUGAGCCUGGCAGUCACUGUACCUCACACCCAUGAGAGGCGGACACGCCAGGCUGGGCACUGGGUGAUGCCAGCCUGUCGAAGAUGCAGCAAAGGUACUGCUUGGAAUAAAUAGCAUCUGGAUCACAGGAUGUGAAUUCGCUCCAGAGGGCUAACGACAGGCACGCCCUGGAGCUGUUCCGAUGCCUAGAAGCCUUAGAACAUGGGUGUCCCAAGGACUAUCCUUUGUAUGUGACACCCAAGCACCUGGGGGUUCCACUGAGGAGGCUACUGGGUCACCUUGGGUCUUCUUCACAAAGGGCCUGUGUUCGACAAUGGACAUGGCUUUCAGUCCCUUCUUGACACUACACUUGGCUUUGUUCCUUGGAGUUGCCCAUCCUUGGGUCUGAGUGCCCUUCGAUAUCAUGGCCCUUGGCUUCUGGUCUUGUGUUCCUGUUGCCUCUGGACACCUCACUGUGGUGCACAGCCUGUAACCUGCAGAGUGGUGAGAAAUCCCUAGCCUUCCCUUUGCCACAGAGGGAACUGUGUGUGGUCCCAAAAAGUGUGUGUUUGCCUUCUUUGGCUCCAAUUUUUAAAAGUGGGUGUAGUGUUUUGCCCUUAACAAGCUGAGGUCUAUAAAAUACAUCUAACAUCUAAGUGUUCCGUGCUGCAGAAAAUAUACCUAUUAGUUUGGGAGGCCUUUGUAUAGCAUUAGCACAAUACCUAUGGGAAAUUUUAAUUAACACUUUGCUCAAGAUAGAAUUUCAGGCAGACAUAUAUAUGUGGGGUCCAAUGAACAGUCCUCAUAUUGAAUGAGUUUAACUUCUAAUCUGGGGGAGACCAGGCCUGCAGAAGGUGGGCACAGGGUUCAGGCAUGUCCCGUGUGGCAUGCAGGUAUCCCGUGCACGAAGAGGGGCCUGCCGGGGAGAGGGGUCUGAGCGAGCCCCAGCUCAGGUUGCAAGGGGCUGCUGGGGACAGAGGAAAAAGCACUCGAGCAGCAUGUUUUCUCUCUAGACUGAGGGCAUGAGGCAAAUUGCAUCAAUUCUCAGAGGCCCAAUUUAUUUUCUCAUUUGUCCAGGGGAGACAAUACCACCUGACCCUCCAAUUUCAGAGCUGUUUUGAGUUUAAAAGAAAACCAAUACAUAUGGAGCUC